rnacentral:tRNA from 1 species
GCCGGGUUGGCAGAGGAGCUAUGCAUCGGCCUGCAAAGCCGACUACCAGGGUGCAAAUCCCUGACCCGGCU